rnacentral:rRNA from 1 species
GAUGAACGCUGGCGGCGUGCCUAACACAUGCAAGUCGAGCGAACAGACGAGGAGCUUGCUCCUCUGACGUUAGCGGCGGACGGGUGAGUAACACGUGGAUAACCUACCUAUAAGACUGGGAUAACUUCGGGAAACCGGAGCUAAUACCGGAUAAUAUAUUGAACCGCAUGGUUCAAUAGUGAAAGACGGUUUUGCUGUCACUUAUAGAUGGAUCCGCGCCGCAUUAGCUAGUUGGUAAGGUAACGGCUUACCAAGGCGACGAUGCGUAGCCGACCUGAGAGGGUGAUCGGCCACACUGGAACUGAGACACGGUCCAGACUCCUACGGGAGGCAGCAGUAGGGAAUCUUCCGCAAUGGGCGAAAGCCUGACGGAGCAACGCCGCGUGAGUGAUGAAGGUCUUCGGAUCGUAAAACUCUGUUAUUAGGGAAGAACAAAUGUGUAAGUAACUAUGCACGUCUUGACGGUACCUAAUCAGAAAGCCACGGCUAACUACGUG